rnacentral:rRNA from 1 species
GAUGAACGCUAGCGACAGGCCUAACACAUGCAAGUCGAGGGGCAGCACAAGGAGCAAUCUGAGGUGGCGACCGGCGCACGGGUGAGUAACACGUAUGCAACCUACCUGUAAGAGGGGAAUAACCCGUUGAAAAACGGACUAAUACCGCAUAACACUGUAGAACCGCAUGGUUUGACAGUUAAACAUUUAUGGCUUACAGAUGGGCAUGCGCAUGAUUAGCUAGUUGGUGAGGUAACGGCUCACCAAGGCAACGAUCAUUAGGGGUUCUGAGAGGAAGGUCCCCCACACUGGUACUGAGACACGGACCAGACUCCUACGGGAGGCAGCAGUGAGGAAUAUUGGUCAAUGGGCGAGAGCCUGAACCAGCCAAGUCGCGUGAAGGAUGAAGGUUUUAUGAAUUGUAAACUUCUUUUGCAGGGGAAUAAAGUGUCCGACGUGUCGGAUUUUGUAUGUACUCUGCGAAUAAGGAUCGGCUAACUCCGUGCCAGC